rnacentral:rRNA from 1 species
GUUAAGUUCGGCGUGUGGGGAGCACGGRCGCGAGACUGAAACUCAAAGGAAUUGACGGGCGCCCGCACACGCGGKGGRRUAUGUGGUUAAAUUCGAUGCCRCGCRAAAAAUCUUACCUGGUUUUGACAUGUYGAGAACUUUCCAGAKAUGGWKGGGUGCCUUCUGAACUCGRACACMGGUGCUGCAUGGMUGUCGUCASCUCGUGUCGYGAGAUGUUGGGKUAAGUCCCGCAACGAGCGCAACCCUUGUCCUUAUUUGCSCCAGCAAGUAAUGGUGGGAMCUYUAAAGAAACCGCCGGUGACAAACCGGAGGAAGGUGGGGAUGACGUCAAGUCAUCAUGGCCCUUACGGCCAGGGCUACACACGUUCUACAAUGGUAGGGACAGAGGGCUGCAAGCCGGCGACGGUAAGCCAAUCCCAGAAACCCUAUUCCARUCGCGGAUUGGAGUCUGCCACUCGACUCCAUGAAAUCGGAAUCGCUAGUAAUCGCAGAUCAGCAU